CGGAGGCAGUGUAUAACAUACUUCAAAUGACACAUGCAUAGACUUCAAUACACCAUUCAACAACGAACGGUCAAGUUGAACGGGUUCGCAGUACGCUAAUCGAAAUUUCGACAAGCUUAGCUAGCGAAAACAAAACAGUUCCUGGCGAAGAAUUGUUUAAACGCGGUACGAUAGUACAAUAAAACUAUCCAUUCAACUACAGGAUAUAAACCGGAAGACGUAUUUUCCAAUCGGGCAAAGUAUUUGGAAAUAGAAGAUGUUUACUCAAAAAUCAAGGAAGAGUAUUAAAUUACACUGGCCCACAAAAAGAAAAAAAAUUUGGUGCAUAGAUAGUGUCGACGGUUUUGGACUAAGUGUCAAUUGAUAUUUGUGAAAAAGAAGAAUAAUAAGAUAUAACAAAUUAUAUUUUGUGAAAAAAAUAUGGAAUCGGAUUGGGAUUGCGAUUUUGAUAGUGACCCAGAAUACGAUGACCUCUGGAAUGUUAUAAUAAUGCGACGAACAAAAGAAAUCAGGUCCCGGCCAAAAUUCUUCAAGCUAUAUGACGAUAAAGAUUUCCGCGACAGAUUUUGGAUUAGCAAAAAAACAGCCUGGAAUGUGCUCGAUUGUAUUCGACUACAAAUUGAACACAAAACCAAGUGGAAUCAUGCAUUAUCACCAGAACAAAUGCUUUUGCUUACAUUGAGGUUUUAUGCUACGGG
rnacentral:lncRNA from 1 species